rnacentral:rRNA from 1 species
UACGAAGGGGGCUAGCGUUGUUCGGAAUUACUGGGCGUAAAGGGCGCGUAGGCUGUGCUGCAAGUCAGGCGUGAAAGGCCCGGGCUCAAGCUGGGAACGGCGCAUGAUACUGCGGCGCUUGAAGGCGGGAGAGGAUGGCGGAAUUCCCAGUGUAGAGGUGAAGUUCGUAGAUAUUGGGAAGAACACCGGUGGCGAAGGCGGCCAUCUGGCCCGUGAUUGACGCUGAGGCGCGAAAGCGUGGGGAG